UUUGCUACACAUUUUCGUAUAUUGGGUUAUAUUGGAGAUUGCUUUUGACUGAUCAAUUUUUUUCUCCAUUUUCCUAUGCUGGGAAACCGUAAGAGUUUUGACGCUUGGUUGUCAAACGUAGGCAGUCAGCAACCUUGCACCAACUACACAGUAAAUAACGAGGAUGACCUUCGCAUUCCUCAACGGCAACACGCUAAACAAAAAGAAUUCAGAAAUUUGGAAAAACACUGGCACUAGCUGUUGGAUCGUGACAGUGAUAAAAGGCAACGAGCAAAUGCUAAUUUAUUGUAUCGAUCAUUAUAAAAGUGGCCAUCAGCAAGAGCAGUUGAAUCCUCAUAGAAAGUAAACUAAAUUAUAAAAGAUAAUUAAAUAUCAAAUACAGUGAAACCACAAAAAUAGAAUUAAUAUAAUAAUAACUUUGUAUACAACAAUAUUGCUGCAGUUAAUUCGAGUGUUGACAUUGCGCUUGAAUUAGUCAGUCAAGUCGGCCAAUGUUCUAAAACUCUUAUUUUAUUUAUGUGCCUUUAAAAAAAUUCAGUUAUCUCUUAAAAACGUACUCUUGUUGCUUCGAUAUAUCAUCAACGGUGCUUUGCAAAAAUUCUAUCUCUAAAUAAUUUGGUUAAAUAUAGUCAUGACACAUGCAUUAGAAUCCAAAAAUGGUAUACACACCAGAAUACUAUGAAGAGACACAUGCUGGAAAGCUGAUAGUCGCGUUUCUACAAGACUGAUUAAGCUCAUCAAAGUAGCCAUUGUCAGGGCAAGUGCCAUUGCCGAUGGACACGCCACCUUGACAAAUUGUGUAUCCAUGGCAUCCAUCAUUUGUUUCGUUAACCAAUUCGAUUUUAUUACUAGCCAAACCAACACAACGAUUGUAGUUGCAUGCGAUGCUAGUUCGUGGUACGCAUUCGCCACCGUUUGACUCAUCAAAGAAUCUGCCAUCCGGACAAAUGCCAUGCUGUAACACUAUUCUAUCCGUGCCAUUUUCCAUCGUCAUACUGCAGUAAUAAUAACCAUUACAACUAUGCCGAUCUGAUACAAAUAUGCCAGUCUGAUUACAAAACUCAGAAGACGGUAAAUCACUUGAUUUGUCAAUACACUUCACAUUUGCUGGAUAAUCACAGUCUGCCAUAAGCGCGUUAUAGUAAUAACCAUUAGGACAUUCGCGACUCAAUAUUUCACCCUUCCAACAUAGCUGAUAUUCAACACAACUAUUUCGAACCUUGAUAAACACGCCGUCGGGCAGGAUGUUGCAAUAACUAUCCGGGUUCAUAUUUAUGGCACAGGGAUAACCUCGUAUGCAGUCACUCGUUCCUGGGUUGAAAUUAUAACCUGUUUGGCAUACGCCAUGUGCUGCUGAGCCAUUAUUGCAAUAAUAGUAGCCAUCGCAAGCAUAAGGAUCAGCUGCAAAGCCGGUUUCAUCAGUCAAAGUCGCGCAUGGAUUACUUGAAAUACACUUUAUACUGGUCGAGUUAACACAGGCAUAUGUGUUACGAUCGUAAAAGAGAUUAUCUGAACAGGUGCCAGCAUGAGGUAUACCAUCAAUACAUGUUAUCCAUGCAUUACAGGCUCGAGGAUCUUUGAUACGUGUACCGUUCGAAAGUAAUUCACAAAUUUCAUUCGGAUCGAAGCUAGCGUUCACGGCAACAGAAAGCAACAACAACGAAAAUAUUCCUUUGUCCACUAUUUUUAGUACAAAAACCGAACAGUAUUUAAAUUAUAAUUAUUUUUUAUCUAAAACUUUUCUUAACAUAAUUUUGAAACACUUACACAUUUCCUUCGGCGUUGUUCGUAAAUAAUAAGCAAAAAUGUUAAAUAUUUUGCUCUGCUAAUAUCAAGAGAAACUAUCUGUGUUCGAUGUUCUUAAAUACUGAACGAAAAAUUUCUUAUACACGAGCUUUUGUGGUACUAUGUAUGUACUUGCAAAGAAUUUUAAUAUCAAAGCAUUAAAUCAAACAAAUUAAAUGCUUAGGUAGUUAUUAUAAAUAAAUAUUACUCUAUAAAGUAAAGUAAUUUGAGCGCAAUAAAUCACGGGUACCUUAAAGACAUUAACCAUUAACCAUUUAAAAUUAUGUCAUAAUUACAUUUAUGUUUGGUUGAGCUGGUUAUACUAGUGUAUGCGGUAAAUCGGCCCUCAAGAUUUCUACUAGAUCAACUCGAAAAGAACUUCAUUGAUAAUUGUGUUAAGUAAUGGAAUUACAUGCAAUAUCGUCGUUUCAUUAAUACUUAGCACAGUGGUAUUGGACAGUUUGAAUUAAAGCGGAUUUUUCUACUAACGAAAAAACUCACAUUUCUUCAACUAAUUUCAAAAUAUGAGUGUGUCAGUAAGGUCUAAAUUCUAGCAUCGUCAAAUAUUUAUAGUUGGCGCUGCUUAACCUACGGGAAUUGAGUGAAAGCGUCCUCAUAUGAUGACUGUUUAAAAAAAUUGUAUCGCAUGCCAAUCAUUGGCUUAAAACCAAAUUUAAGUAUACGUAAACAACAAUAAAUCAUUUAGUUGAAAUUGGUAAAAGCUUUUUGAAUUGGUACAGUUUUACUUACCGAAUGCUCCAUAUAUUAUAUAAUAUAUAUGUAUUGUACAUAGGUAUUCAAAUAAAGAGAUGAUCAAAUGUCACAAGUCAACAUCUAUUCUAUUGCGGGUAACUAAAUCGUUGCUCUAAAAUUUCGCAGGGAACGGCUAUAUACAGUUACAUAAAUGAAAAAAUGAAACUGUUACAUAUGUGUAACACUACAGUGACUUCCAA